UUUUCUACUUGUACCAAAAUUCAAAUAUUUUAGGUACUGGAAUUAUUUAAAAGGAAAAUUGUUACCACUCCCAUUAUGGAGUAGAUAGAAAAUGUAUUAAUAUAGCAUUUUAACCAUAGGCCAUUGCACAUAAUACAGUAAAUAAAUACAAAUUUUAUAUCAACACACGCCGUUAUGGAAUAAUAUUUGUGAAAGUGAACAUUUGAGAUAUAGUACAAUAUAGUAUUAUGAUUCUGAAAACCUACCGCAUUCGUCUAAUGAGUUAGAUUAGAAUGUUUCAAGUUUUAGAGUGAAAUCCUGGCCCAGUUGUAAUUAGUAGGGGUUUUUACUUGGAUAGAACCAGGGUUCAUGUUCUUUUUGUACAAUUAGGGUAAGCUAAGUUGCUUGCUUUAAUUUUACUUAGCCAACCAGAGCACAUGGGGUAAAACUGGAAAUACCUGCAUUUUCUUUCUUGUUCUAGCACGGGAUAACCCAAUCAAAUAUUAUAAUUGGAGAUGAAUGUGUGGAUCCAUGUUUUAGCAUUUUACUUGUAAAUCUUAAUGGGGAUGUUUACAGACUAAGUUAGAUAGAUGUUUGUCAUUUUACAGGUGCCUCAAAGAAUUUAUAUAUUACGUUAUGAGGAGUUUUAAAAAUUCUUUUUAUUUUUUUUCCUGGUGUAGGGCAAAUGCAGCAUUUUCUAAAAAAAGACACAAGUACCAAAAACAACCCAAAGCCUUUGAUGUGCAUCACCCAUAUCUACUUAGGGCUGAUGUUGACAAACAUGAGAAUGUGUUCGAUCAAACUUUUGCUUGUGUUCAUGUGUGUGCCAGAUUUAAUAUUAUCCUAUGGCUGGAUUGUACCCUGUAUUGAUCCUUGUAUCCUGAAGUCCUAAAUCAGUCAAGAGCAGUAAUAUGGGGAGAGACUGCCUAAUUUAUAAUUAGUUGAUUGACUAUAUGUUAGAUUUUUUGGUAUGAACAUCUGAGAAGUAAAUAGCUAAAAAAUCAUAUUGAAAAACAGAUUAGCUGUUUCUUAAAGGAUACUUUCUUCUUCGUCAAGGCCUUAAUGUUUACAAUGAAGUUGUGUAGGCCUUAAUGAAUCAAGAUUAAUAUAAGUGUCAAAAUGGUCUAGGGCAAAAUGAUUACUUUCAGCAUAUAUAAUGUUAAUUUCUUAAUCUUUAAAAUGAUGUCUUGCAAGAUAUAAAUUGCAAAUUCUAGUAAUCCCAGAGUAAAUUGUAAUUGUUUGUUAGCUUCUAAGCAGCGUGCACAAUAGGCUUACCAUUUUAAUCAGAAAAUCAUGUGUUUUGUGCCAGAUAAAUUAAGUCCUAAGGUUUCAGCGACCUCAGAUAUUGAUUUGUAGUUUAUUUCAGCCUGUUGAACAAAGGUAAAGGAUUAAGUCUUUGUUCUUGAGGUGACCUUUCUAUCUAAGGGCCUGAUACUGCUUCCACUGAUGUCAGUCGGAAAACUCCCAAUGACUCCCAUGGGAGCUGGAUUGGGGCCCUCAUCUGGUAUCCAUUAAGCCAGCCAUUUGAUAUUGAUUACCCAUUUAAACGUGGUGUUUGCACAUCAACAGCAUCAAUCUGUUCAGCAGUACUUUUCAGGACAUUGUUUUUAAAGUGAGUAAAAGUCUUGCUAAUCAUAUUUUCCUAUUAGACAGUACAACCAGUGUAAAUAAAUCAUGCAUAAACUAUUGAUAAAUGAGCUACUUUUUCUGCUUCUUCUUGGACAGUGUGGCUUGCCUCUGCUUGUCCUUGCUGUGACUUCGUUUGGUUUUUAAUUCAACUGAUCACAUUGAUCGGGGACAAUAGCCAAAUGUAGUGUGUCUUGUAUAGAUUUGAAGAGACAUUAUCCCUUUUUUCAGCUUUGAAAAUUGUGAAUUAAGACUGCUUAAUUCGGGUUUUACGUUUCAUGUAAGUGGUAUCUCAUGGAACCAAAAAAUGUGAGCUGACUUACCUGUACAGCACUCUAUCCCUUUUGAUUUCUUUCUCUUACACAGCCCUAACUUCUGCUGAGCAAUUCAUGUCCCCACUAAUAUUCUUCCUGCAUUUACAUUUUGUUGCUUGCUCUUUCACUAAUUGUUUGUUUGCUCAUAAGUGAUGAGUGAAGGAUUUGAUUUGAUUUGAUUUUUUGCCUGCAUUGUGAUAUUUCAUUGUGCUAUUAAAAUCUCAACUUUCCAAAUCAUUCAGAAAGAACCUUCCAACCAAUCGUAGUACCUUUAACUUAACUAACCUCCACAUAAUGAAAUUAGACAACUGAGCUUCUGUUGUAUUAAUUUGCCUGUCCCAUAAAUACAAUUCAGUAAACUAAAGGAGAAUUCCUUCAAAUAUUUGCAAUAUGCGAACUUUAAGUGUUGGACAAUAAGAGGAGUUCAAUGAUCAGCAGUCAUUACCAGAGUGGGAAUAUGAGGCCUUUUCUUAAUCCAAACUCACUGAGUAGAGUCAUUGGGGCCAGUGAGGCUUCUUACGUGGGAGAUGAUUACAGGGUGAGAUUCAUAGCUUCCUUCUAAUUCUUACAGGUCAUGAUUAUGUGAUGUGCCGAAUGCCAUCCUUGCCCAUUGAAGUCAAUGGGAGAUGGAGGUUGGCCAGCACUUCCAAGGUUGAGCCUAUAGGAAUCAACCUUUGCAGAAAGACUCUGCUUUCUGUCAAUAAUUCUCUUGCAAAAGAUAAAUCUGAAAAGUCUUUCUUCAUUCUUUCUCUCUCAGAUCAUGUGAUUGCAGACAACAAUGCAAAUAUGUCAUUUUAAGUUUUUAUAUAAAUAUUAGAAUUAGUUUUUUAAAAAAGAUAUACUUAUGACUGCCUUCAGAAAAACAGAUUAGAAAAAAGGGAUACUCUCUCUUUAGAAAAGCUUUAUACAUUUUAUUUAAAAAUGGGGAGAAAACCCCAUCUGGAAUUCCCAAGUCAGCUUUAGCUUAUGUUGUGCUUUUUUGUUUUUAUUUUUAUUUUUAUAUACCUGGAAUGCAGUUUAGCUUGGUAUUAAUAAAAUUCUAAAUAUAUGAGCAUAUUGGCAAAAACUGCACAGAUGUAAUGAUAUUCCAAUAGCAAUUGUACUGCACAAGUCAGUGAUUGUAAAGUAUUCCGUAACAAGCAAUGUGUCUCCUAUUUUUUGAUACCUCUUACACUUAUGUCUUUUAGAAAGACAGUGCCUCUGUAUGCUUUUUGUAUUUUUACUGAGUGAUUGUAAAUAUUUGUUAUAUUUUUGGUUAAGAGAAUGUUUAAAAGUACUGUUUAUUAUCCAAUCUACUAAUAUGUUGGAAUCAAUAAACAAUCUACAUACA